CCGAGCGGACGGCCGAGUGAAAGGAAAAGACGGGCGCGCGCUGGGAGCUUCUUUUUCCCUCCCGACGGCUUCUCGCGUCGCAUUAUUUGUUUUCCCUGGUGACGUGUCUCGUUUCGCAAGGCGUCCUUCCGCCGACAAACCGAUGGCCUAUUUGCUGACGCGUGUGCGGGUUUGAGUGCCGUUAACCGUGUGUGCAGUGGCGUUUACCUUCGUGUGGCAUCGACUGUUCAGUGUUUUGUUUCUUUCUGUUGUUUCGUGGUGCUGGGAAAAGAUCCAGGUGUGCGCGUGGCUUUCAGGAGUGCCAACCUAUGACGGAAAAAAACCCCAAAUGUUUCUUCUGAAUACUGCGGCGCGCGGCGCGUGACGAGUGCUCUGGUGCCGCCAUGGGCGAGGCGCCGCCCCCUCGCGGCAACCUGCGCCAGCUGCGGGAGUCCUCGUCCUACCUGGUGCUGCUGAGCAGCCUGGCCACUGACCUGGACUUCAUGCUGAGCGACCUGUGCUCCUCGUCGCCGCCACGCUACGAGAACGGCCUGCUGCUCGCCGACCGCGAAGGAGACGCGCUACGCCACAGGUAGGCGCGGCAUCGAGGACCAUUCUGUAUUAGUCGACCCGUGCGGAAUAUCGCAGUGCGCACCAAAUCGUUUUGUGUGGCAUUCCAUGUUUUACCUUGAUGUGAUGAUGAAUCUAUGAAAGUAAAUUCAGGCCGUGGAUCAAGCACAUGUAUUUAUUGAAUGAAUCUGGAAGAUAGAGUUUGUAUAUGUAAGAAACAAUGCAAUUCAAUUUUAGUUUCACAUUAACUGUAAGUUUAAAGUUCCUCAACGUUAAUGAACCUGAAAUGUGAACAAAAAAUCGACGCAUCCAUUAAAGGACCUCUUCUUAGAUGAUUUAAAAUCUCAAAUUUAAGAGAAUUGAUACAUUUUUAGACUGUGGGUCUAUUUUUCGUCAUUAGCCUGCACGAUAAGCUUUAAAAUGAGGGUGAAUAAUGGAAUUUGAUAAAAGUAAUUAGGAAAAUCUCGCGGACCGACAGAAAAACAGGCUACAGAAAUAAUAUAUACUAUAGGAGACUCGUAAGACAACUCGAGACAAGUGAUGUCAGCGAUCCUGGCAGCGUGGAGUGUAUCUACCUUCUUUUACAAUGUGUUUUAAGUGCGCGAGAGUAAUGGCAUCUAGCAGCUUGGUGUGAAACUAGCUUGAAAGCAGUGCAGUAAAUUGCCUCGCGCUUCGCCAAUAACAAUUGGCCAGUAAUUCCCAUAUUGUCGUAAUGAGAUGUUUGGUCGAGGCCCGGGAUCACGCGCCGUGUGACGCCAUAGCUCUCGGAACACGGCAUUUGGUGCCAGUCAUUUCGUGAAUGCGACAUGGAACGGAAACGUGUAACAACCACGGUGCUGCCAUCUGUGACGGAUAGCGCGAGUCAAAGUUCACAAGGACAAAGAAAAACUAUAUAGUAUUAAUUGUUUAGUUAAUUUUAACAAGAUGGGUAGUAUUGUAAUAAAAUUCCUUGUCAAAAAUCAGUUCUAAGGCCGGGGUUUAUUAUUUUUCAAGUGUUUUUUUUUUUUUUUUUUUUUUUUUUUCGCUUCUAUCGGAGUGAAUUCUAGCAGCGGGUGCGGAAACUACGUGUGUUUCACAUUCAUAAAUGUAGUUUAAUUGAAUGCACAAUUUUCCUACAUUUCUCACGCUCGGCAUUAUUUCAAUGAAUUCUAGAUUAAAUUUCGUGUCUGAGUUUCGUAUUAUAAGUUUAUUUUCAAAAUGAGAACACAUGGAUUUGGUAAUUACUGUGGUAAGAUGAACUGAAGAGAACUGAAAGACUCGCUUACAAUUUUUUUUUCGUUUUUUGUUUACUUUCAUUUAAAAGCUAUUUAUAAAAUUUUAACUCGAUACCUCUCUUUAAUUUAUUUUUCUGCUAAAAAUAACAGAUAUUUUUUAUUGUAUAACAUCGGUGAAAAUAUUGGCACAAAUUAUGAUGAUUACGAAGACAUGUUUGCCUUUUCACACCCUCAUGAUAUUACACUAUCUGUUGAAAAUAUUUGUAGCAGAACAAAAAAUUCAAGGGAGGUAUUGAGUUAACAUUUUAGAAAUAACCCUUAAUAAUAGUAAUAACGAAUAAUUGAAAAAAAAUCAACAUCGUGAUUAAGACCGACCCUUAAGUUCCUAUACAUCUGUUUCGAUAUUUUUUUUACGUUUGUUGUUGGCUCACAAACGUUUUCACCAGUUAUUUGCUAGACGUUAUUUCCGAGCUGUGAAAUGAUAGUAAUUAUUAACGCUUCGACUUUUUACCGCAAUUAGAUUAUUUUGUUGAGAAAAUUUUAGACUUAACACAAAAUGCAAGAGAACUUUCGAGAUGAAUGUUAAUAAAGAAAACCUGCAAAUAAUACUAAUGACAAAAUAAAAAAUGUGAGAGACUGAGCCUUAAUGUGGCAUUUAAUUGGUUUGUUUCUAAAAUAACUUGUUCUGAUAUUAUGACUGACAGCUGAAGAAAAAUCAUGUUAGGAUUAGUUACUUAUAUACAGAAUACGUAAAGACAAACAAGUGUUUCCACAAAUUGAGAUGGCGGAAUUUAAAAACAAAUGACUUAAGUAAAAACGAAAUCAUUACAAAUGACCUAUGAAAAAAAUACCUUUAAGAGAAUGAACGUAGUCACGACAAGUGACAAAAGACUAAAAAUAAAACAUUGGUACAAUAAAUAAACGAUUAAAGCAAUUACAGCUAAAUCUGUCAAACUAAGAUAGGCUACCCGUCCGGCUAAGAGCUGUAGUGAACUUUAGGUUAAGCCAACAAAAUCAUUGGAAAUGAAGAGCACCCUGAAAGUCGUUUAUCCUAAAAUCCUAAAAUAGUUUGUCCUGCAGUCAUUUGUCCCAAAUGUCGUUUAUUCAAAUUUUGAGAAUAAACCACUUUAUGACAAUGAGGUUAUUUAAAGGAUGGUUAAAUUAAAUAAAAUUGUUAUGAGAUAAAUCAUAGAUGUAUAAUGAAUUAGCUAUUACAAUUGCCCUAAAAUCUUUAACGUUUCAGUUCCGUUAUUUAUUUAAUUAUCUUUAUUUGCUCAUGCUAAAAACAUUAAAAAUGUUUGCUAAAGUAUUUAUAAUACAUAUAUGUAUUUGUACUGCGCAGGUAAAGGACAACAUGGCCAAAUAUUUUUUAAUGAAAUAUAGUUAGCACCAUGUUUCUGAUUUACAUUUUUCGCUCAAUAUAUUAGUAAAUGGCCUCAUAUUAUUCAAUCCAAAGAAAA